rnacentral:rRNA from 1 species
GAUGAACGCUAGCGGGAGGCCUAACACAUGCAAGCCGAGCGGUAGAGUUUCUUCGGAAACUUGAGAGCGGCGCACGGGUGCGUAACACGUGUGCAACCUACCUUUAUCUGGGGGAUAGCCUUUCGAAAGGAAGAUUAAUACCCCAUAAUAUAAUGAUUGGCAUCAAUUAUUAUUGAAAACUCCGGUGGAUAGAGAUGGGCACGCGCAAGAUUAGAUAGUUGGUGAGGUAACGGCUCACCAAGUCAAUGAUCUUUAGGGGUCCUGAGAGGGAGAUCCCCCACACUGGUACUGAGACACGGACCAGACUCCUACGGGAGGCAGCAGUGAGGAAUAUUGGACAAUGGGUGAGAGCCUGAUCCAGCCAUCCCGCGUGAAGGAUGACGGUCCUAUGGAUUGUAAACUUCUUUUGUACAGGGAUAAACCUACUCUCGUGAGGGUAGCUGAAGGUACUGUACGAAUAAGCACCGGCUAACUCCGU